UCCCGAGUAGCGAAGUGGUUAACGCGCAUCCCUUCUAAGGAUGAGAUCGUGGGUUCGAUCCCCACCUUGGGCU